ensembl:lncRNA
UCUCCGGGGGGGAAAGGGUUCGCCCGAAACUUUUUGAGGAGCGGAGGGCCUCUCCCGCCCCCUCCCCGCCCUGUGCCCGGAGAGGGGCGCCGCAAGUGCGCUUGGUUGCGCUCGCCGGGCCGCCGGGCUCGCUUCCUCCCGCGGGCCUCCUGGGUUUCCCUCCGCCCCCUUGUGGGGAUCCCCGUGCGCCCGGCUUGGGACCUGAAACAGGACUCCCCCAGGCUCUUUGGCUCGCUGGGGGUGUCCUGGCUCCCUCCUCUGGCCCGGGCUCACACUUCACUCGGGAUAGUCCUGUACCAAGCCUCCAGGGCUGUGGCCGAGGGAAGAGGGUCAGGGCGGCGCGAGGGCCGCCGGCCAACCCCGGGACGAGGCUCCUGGCCUUCCUGUCGCCGAGAGCAGUCAGGCUGCCCCCCAUCUUGAGGUCAGAACCCUAAUCCUCGCACUUCCCAGCCUCCACUUGUGCUCCAGCCCUCACCUGCAGCCUUGCAGAAGAUGUCCUUUAGAGAGGACACCUGGUGGUCUCAGGUACAGCCACCCUCCCUCCUGGGGUUUCCAGCUUCCCCAGUGCCUGGUGCCUCCCUUGGGCUGAGGCUAGGAUGGCGGAUCUAGCCCCAGAAGGAGAUGCCUCUAUGGUGGGGCUGAAAACAGAAGUGAAGUGAAGUGAAAGUCGCUCAGUCGUGUCCGACUCUUUGCGACUCCAUGGACAGUGCAGUCCCUGGAAUUCUCCUGGCCAGAACACUGGAGUGGGUAGCCUUUCCCUUCUCCAGGGGAUCUUCCCAACCCAGGGACUGAGCCCAGGUCUCCCGCACUGCAGACGGAUUCUUUACCAGCUGAGCCACAAGGGAAAACAAAAGCGUUUGUUCAAAAAAUGAUCACUGGAACACAGGUGUUGGUCUAGGUGACUGUCUCCACAGAGUCCGGUCAUUUCAGGGAAUCCAGCUGAAGCCGUCUAUGGAGUUCAUCUUCAUUUAAACAGAUUUCACAGCAAAGUGGGUAUAGCAGAGACAAAGACCCCUGAGAAGCCCACCACCCAAAGAAGAAGGAUGGGUGCUUCCAGUCCCCAGCCUGACAGCACCUGCAGUCAUGGGCCCCCAUCCCAAGCAGAGGUGGCCCCUCAGCCAGAAGAAAGUUUCCUUCUAGGGUCAGGAAAGCCCCCUACCCUCCCUCCAGCGAGCACCCUUUGGGACUGGGAGUUGGGGUGGGAGAGCAGGUUCUCACAUCAUCUGCCAACCCUGAAGAAAGGAGACAGACCCUGGUGGACUCUUCUCACCUGUGUUUGUCCUACCUGCCCUCUCCCAGUCUUCGGAAGCUCCCCCCAAGGAACUGGACUUUGGAAGGAGCCGGAGCUGCGAUAACUUAUGUGCUAUUUAUCUUUCACCAUCAGGAUCCUCGUCAAUCCCGAGGCAGCUUUUGCCUUUUAUUUCUUAAUCUGUUUGCAUUUGAUCUCACAUUUUGUGCAAAGAGCCUCGGGGAGAAAAUUCCAGGCCCUGAUACAGUCGUCUGAGAAUUUGCUUGCUUGGAAAGAGAAGCAUCACCCCAAGAUGUGCCAGGGCCUGCACCCUUCCAGGAGCAAGACAGGCGUGGGUACGAGGCCCCUCCACAGCCUGGCAGCCUGGGCUGGGUGCUGGUGUCACCAUCCAUGCCCUCUUUUUAACCUCCAAAAAGCAUUCCAUGCAAAGACUUUGGACUGGAUAUGAGGGCGCAGAAGUGGCUCAUCUUUCUCAUAGAUCUACCUCGAUCACAAAGGACCACGUGCACAGACAUCAGCCCAGAAGCGAGGCCCAGGCUACCAGGGUCUUUUGUGCCCACCAGCCUCGCUCCCAGGUUCCAGGCGCUCUCUAGCCCACAGUGCCCACACCUGAUAGACCUGUUUCCACAACAAAGCAGGAUUGUGUCUCCAUAACACCAGACAGUGCCAGUUGUCAGACAAGCCACUGGCGAGAGAUGGGAG